rnacentral:lncRNA from 10 species
UUAAAGGACUGCUAAUGAUCAGCAAAUAGCCAAAGGCAGAGGAGUCAAUCCAAGAUCUCUUCGGUUCUUUCCUAAUCAGGGACAUACCAGGGAUACAACAGCCCUUUUAAUCCGGAAGAACGAGGGGCUGAAGGAAAUAAAAAGUAAGCCUGAACCAGACCAGAGAAUUAAAAUGGUGUUUUAGAGAUGGGGCUCUGUCACCUAGGCUGGAGCGCAGUGGGGCCAUCAUAGCUCACUGCAGCCUUGAACUCCUGAGCUUAAGCAAUUCUUCUACCUCGGCCUUCCGGGUACCUAGGACUACAGGCGUAAGCCACUACAUCUGGUAGUUUUCUAAAUUAAGGAAAUUUAUAUUUCGAUCAAGGCAACAAAGACAUACAGUAGAUACUUCUGAGAUGUGCCACUAAUCAGAAGAAUGCAUAUAGAGGCAGCUGUUGGCUAGUCCAUAUCCCAAUCCAGAGACGUGAACAUCAAUCACAUGUUAGAUAUCAAGCUUUUUAAAAUGGAAAUAGAGUGAUUUAUUUAAAACCCUGAAAGGGUGUUAGGAGAUAAACUAAGGGUAUUAGGAGGUGGUAUGUAAUAAAGAGUCUAAGAAAGAAAAAAGAACUGAAGGUUCUCAUGAGGCUUUCAUCAGACAGAGAAACUUAUAAGUAUGUUAAUAUUUGUCAAAUUGCAAUUAAAGUACUGGUCUUCAUCACUUAGAAGCAAAAUUAUCUUCUGAAGAAGUUGAUUCAGAAGGAGUGAAUUUUAACUAGCUAGAAACAAUGUAUUAUUAU